GCAGGCACAAGUUCAGAGCUCCGCUUCCCCCCGCUUUAAUUAGGCUGGGGAGAGCGGUGCAGGCGCCCGGCUGAGGUGCAGCGAGGCGGCCGCAGCGAGAUCUCUUAAAGAUCUCUCAAAGCUGCCUAUGGAUCACUGGGAGCUGCCUGCUGCUGUGUAGCCUGAGCAAGCGUCUCCCCUCCUCCUUCCGCCAGCGAGGCUGCUGGGACCCAGGGGAUGUUCGGUGGAGAUUAUCUGAUAUCAUCAGAGCUGGACAAUUUCCAGAUAUGACCGUCGGGCAAUGGUUUGGCUCAAGAUACCAGAAAGUGGGGAACCAAACAACAAGGGUUUUUGAGUUCGACCAUGGCGGCAGGCCCAAACCCCGAGCUGACAGCUCCCCGUAAAGCUCAACGGGGGCUCAGCUACACAGGCACCAUGUUUCUGCUGAGCCAGGAGAGCUGAGCAUGAAGAAACUUGUGCAAGAUCAUGACAUUUAUAUAAAUUGUGUUUAAGAUACUUUCAUACUUGCAGAUAUCUUAUAAAAAUGUAAAUAGAGGCCAGUGGUCUGCUAGUAUGAACUGGUGUAUAGAAAUAGUAAUAUAAUAUGAAGACUUAGCAUAAAUCCCUCUGUUUGUUGUAAUACUGAUGCAGCGUUUUAUGUAUGUGUGAGUAUAUGCAUAAAUACAGGGACAGACUUAUACCUUAUGACUGCGUGUACAAUACUAUUUUAAAUGUUUUGUUAAUGAUAGAAUCAUAUGCAACAGCUCCAAUAAAAGAAAAUUUUGUUCCCGUACGUAGGCAGCUAUUCUUCUGUCUGCCAACUUUUAUAAACACUUACGAAAGAGAUGUAAACAGCCUUUCAAUUAAGACAAAUCAAGCUAACACUAAUUAAAGCUGGCUGCAAGAUGUAGUCUCUUUACUUUUCGCCCAGCUUUCUGAGGACGCUUUUCGUUGUGUGACAGAUUAGCAUCACAAACGAAAAUGCUUUAGAAGCUUUAGUGUUAAUUAGUCUUCCUGGACAAUCUGAAUGAGCUGUUGCAUGAUGAAAUGAGACCACAAAAUAUUCAAUCUGAUGUAAUCAAAAAAAAAAAAAAAAAAAAAAGCUACACAUUUCUUUCACAGGACACAAGAACUUAGCCAUAUGUUAUGGUUAUUUUUAUUUAAAAAUAUUCUGGUUUAAGACAUAUUGUCUUGGCAUAACAUGUAAUAAAUUAUUAUGGAAAAUGU